GACGUAGGGGGCGAGCGUUGUCCGGAUUUAUUGGGCGUAAAGAGCGCGUAGGCGGUGUGUCGCGUCGGCCGUGAAAACCUGCAGCUUAACUGUGGGCUUGCGGUCGAUACGGGCAUCACUGGAGUUCGGCAGGGGAGACUGGAAUUCCUGGUGUAGCGGUGAAAUGCGCAGAUAUCAGGAGGAACACCGGUGGCGAAGGCGGGUCUCUGGGCCGAUACUGACGCUGAGGAGCGAAAGCGUGGGGAGCGAACAGG
rnacentral:rRNA from 1 species